rnacentral:rRNA from 1 species
CGCUGAGUUUGAUCCUGGCUCAGAUUGAACGCUGGCGGCAUGCUUUACACGUGCAAGUCGAACGGUAACAGGCCGCAAGGUGCUGACGAGUGGCGAACGGGUGAGUAAUGCAUCGGAACGUGCCCAGUCGUGGGGAUAACGCAGCGAAAGCUGCGCUAAUACCGCAUACGAUCUGUGGAUGAAAGCGGGGGACCGUAAGGCCUCGCGCGAUUGGAGCGGCCGAUGUCAGAUUAGGUAGUUGGUGGGGUAAACGGCUCACCAAGCCAACGAUCUGUAGCUGGUCUGAGACGGACGACCAGCCACACGUGGAACUGACG